GAGAGGUUUCCGCUAUUCUGGUGACAAUUUUGGGUGCCUGGUGUAAAAUUGGGCAAAAUGGGCUUCUGCGAGUGUCCGCUUGUGCAUCCUAGAAAAAAUAGGAAGAAACAGGUCCUUUCUAAAGGUGGGCAUUAGACCAGAGUUUCGUGAGCCGGAGAAGAUCGAUAAAGCUUAGAACUUGCUCGUUUGCAGGAGGAGGCGGACUGGACCACGGCUGAAACUGCCAGGCACGGACUAAAAGCUUUAUCAAGGAUUUCCGAGUCAAACGACUACCAUCUACGGAGUAUAGCAUAGAGCUGGAAGCUGCACUAUGUACAAGAAGACUGGAUGUGAACACGGGCGGACUACACCCCUCACUUUCGUCUCCAUCGUGUGGCGGCUGACGAGACCUGGGUGACGCCGCCGCCACCAGGUUCUCUGUCUCGCAGCUCCUCUCGCCGUCGUCUUUCCGCGCUAGAUUCGUUUCGGUACUGAUCUAACUUCACUGCAAAUCUUCGAUUCUGCUGCGACCCUUGACUGCAUCUUCUUCAACCUCGACUCCCUGCAACCCUCCCAGCGACGUCGUCUCGCCGCCCUUGGCCUCACCAUCAUCUGAUGUAGGGGAGUGAUACCGCCACCUCCAUCUCCCCUUUCCCUGCCUCUGAACCCAACUGAGAAGAAACUCAUCUCUUCCCCUCUCCCAGGGCAUCCUCUCUUACCCUCCUGUGGCUCCUCGUCCUCCUCCCAUGGCCACCAAAUUCUGCAAGGAUUUUUUAUUCAUGUUGUUCUUUGUCACCAGGUCACCAGCAAGGUCUUAGUCCAUGAUUUGUUCGUCUCGCGCUAGAGAUGGUGGAGGUGGAGAAGAAGUCUGAGCGAGGGCUCAAGGAGGUGGAGGAAGAGAUGGUGGCCGGCACCGCUCCUUCGGCCAGGAAAAUGCGAGCACUCCGGUUCAUGCAUAUCGACUCAAUCGCGGGGUUGGAGGACAAAUUCGAGCUCCAUAUUACUUGGUCUGCUGCUUCUUCUGGGUUGUUUUCUACCUUCCAGUAGAUUCUGUGAAGCUCCAAUGGCUAACAAACAGGUUAGUGCUCAUGCACUAUUAUUCCUCAAGUUAAUUAUCUUGCGACGCAAUUUCAUAUUUUAUGGUCUGAUUGCUCUGGGUGGAACUGACCGCUCUACUGCAGUGUGAUUCCUCUAGAUGGAACUGACCGCUCUACUGCAGUGUUGUAAAAGGAGAUGUCUUGCACUACUGCUGCUUGGUAGACGUGAACGACUACAUUAGGAGUUUGCUGCAUGGUUGGAGGUCAGCUCAGCUUUUCUAUCUGCUUAACUUUUGCAGAUAUAAAAACUUAGGUAGUCUUGAAGCUGAAAUUUAGUUGAUUGAAAGUUAAGAGAUUCAGAGUAAGAGACUUUUUUUUGCACUCAGGGGACGAGCACGGUAACAUGUCUUCUCACUCCAAUAUUUGAGACUGAAUUUGAUAAAAUUAGGCACUGCAAAUAAAAUUAAAAUUAUUGGCAAAAUACACUCAUGGACAAUUUUAAAGAAAACAAAAGUGCGUAAUUUUCGUCUGCUUUGUGUUGAAGUCCUCUUGUAUAGGGCAUUUGAGGUUCUGUUUAGUGCAUAAUUUGGCGAAUCUUUUGCAGCAAACACUCAUUUAUUUGCUUUGCCAUGAAAUUUCCUACAUAUGACCGUCCUGUUCUAUCCAGGUGCCAUAAUUUUAGGUUUGACAUCUAAUAAGUUAACUUCAAAUUUGAAUGCCAUGUAUAGCAUUUUGAGAAUUGGAGUGACGGCAUCGGUCGCUACUACUUUAGUGAUCUAAAACGUCUUAUAUUAGUUUACAGAGGUAGUAUUUGGGUUGUCAUUGACAUCACACAUUGACUGGCGAUGUUGCAUGUCAGAGGGGUCUACUCAUACGUGCAGUUUUCCAUUGUCUCUGGUGAUUCUUUUCUUUAUUUCCCACCUUGCACGUUUGUUAUAUUCAUGGGUUCACCCUUCUUUCUAAUAUUUUAUAGUUUACUAAAAUCGUAACAAUUGGUGUCAAAACCUUAUAUUCGCUGCUAUUGUAGAUCAGUACCAUUACCCUAUUUGCAGAUUUUUAGUUAAGCUAUAUUAGAAGAAAUCAUAUGCUAACUUACAACCCAGCUAAAAAAAGAUAUUGAAAAUCAAAUAAAAUGUAAGCCAAAAAGAUGACCAAUACAUUGUACUAUUUGGAUCAUGCUUCUUACAUAUAUGUUUGAUUACAUUAUCUAUACAAUUCUAUAAUCAUCCACAUUAUUUUCCUUAGCUUAACAUGCCAUUGCAUUCCAUAUAUAACUAUCUGUUAUAACAACAAUUAUAAGGUGAACCAUGUUUGCCGCGACUUGCACAUUUUUAAUGUUCGAUGGACUAAGACCAGAGUUUUCCCGCCUGUACACACUCUAUUUGCAUUACAUUUUUCUGUAAAAUAAUACUGACAACUUCAUCAUUGUUGAUUCGAAUACCAUACCAUGUUGAUCUACACCCGGUGUGCUUUCUCUCCUAUUUAUGCUUUGGUUUCAGUGCUUCUAAGGCUCGCACAUAAUAAUUGAGAAAAGUAGCACAGUGUUUUUUUGGCUAUUUGCUAUCAAUGGCAUGUUGCAGUUUACCAUGGACCAUGCUAAACGUGCACCUAUCCAAGGAAUACUGUACUUUAUGGGAUUUCUCAUAUAUUUGUAGAUUUAUUGUAUUUUCUUUGAGUUGGAUUGUAGAUUUGUUGUUGUGUUGUCAGAAUAGACAAUGCAUGAAUUCGGUAACUGAUUUUAUAGCUGCAGUCUCCUAAGCACAAUUAUUGGUGCUUUAUUUUAUAA